rnacentral:rRNA from 1 species
GUUAAGUGACUAAGCGUAUACGGUGGAUGCCUUGGCAGUUAGAGGCGAUGAAGGACGUGUAAGUCUGCGAAAAGCUGUGGUGAGCCGACAAAAUGCAUUUGAGCCACAGAUGUCCGAAUGGGGAAACCCACCUGUUUACAGGUAUCGUUACAUGAAUACAUAGUGUAACGAGGCGAACGAGGGGAACUGAAACAUCUAAGUACCCUUAGGAAAAGAAAUCAACCGAGAUUCCCCUAGUAGCGGCGAGCGAACGGGGAGCAGCCCUUAAGCUGUAUAGAGUGUAGUGGAAUCCUUUGGGAAGAGGAGCGAUACAGGGUGAUAGCCCCGUACACGACGCAAUCUUUACAGUGAAAUCGAGUAGGUCGGGACACGUGUUAUCUUGACUGAAUAUGGGGGGACCAUCCUCCAAGGCUAAAUACUCCUAACUGACCGAUAGUGAACCAGUACCGUGAGGGAAAGGCGAAAAGAACCCCUGUGAGGGGAGUGAAAUAGAACCUGAAACCGUAUACGUACAAGCAGUGGGAGCACCUUCGUGGUGUGACUGCGUACCUUUUGUAUAAUGGGUCAACGACUUAGUGUUGUAUGCAAGCUUAAACCGUUAGGUGUAGGCGCAGCGAAAGCGAGUCUUAAUAGGGCGCAUGAGUUCGUGGGAUCAGACCCGAAACCGAGUGAUCUAGGCAUGGCCAGGUUGAAGGUGCGGUAACACGCACUGGAGGACCGAACCCACAUCUGUUGAAAAAGAUCGGGAUGAGCUGUGCCUAGGGGUGAAAGGCCAAUCAAACUCGGAGAUAGCUGGUUCUCUGCGAAAUCUAUUUAGGUAGAGCGUCAUCCGAAUACCCCCGGGGGUAGAGCACUGGAUGGGUAAUGGGGCCC